rnacentral:lncRNA from 1 species
GACAAGCUGACACAUUUAUAUAUAUAUAUAUAUGUACAUUUUUUGAAGCGUUAGUUACUGGAAAAACUGCAGUGCUUGUCACAUGUCAUGAGAAUCCUAGAGGUGGAGCUAAAGACAGGAAGUCAGUGGAUCCACUAGCUGUUAUGGCAGGAACAGGCCAUGGUGUGGUUGGAAUGGUGGAGGUGGUCCUGAGGAGCGUAGCGGCUGGGUUCGCCAUCGGAGAGACCGCUCUGGCUGCUGCCGAACCCUACUUGACCACAACUGGACCACUUAUGAUCACCGCCGCCCUAUCAGAGAAAAGAACACAGCAGAGAGCCGAAGGAAACAGCAAAUGGUCAGAGAGGUUACUGCUAUACUCAGUUGUUGUGGCAAUAGUAGGUUUCCCUAUGGGUGUGGGGGAUACAGGUGGGUCAGGGUCAGAGGUGACUGUGAUGCUGGGGUCAGUGCUGUGGGUGGGGACCCUGGCUUCAGGACUGCUAGGAGCUGCUCUGGGAACAGUGGCUGUGGUGAGUUUGGGACCAGAGGGGGCAGCGAGGGUGGCGGUGGGGGCGGCAGUGACAUCCUCUUGUAGCCUGAGACUCAUUCUCCCAG